AUUGAACGCUGGCGGCAUGCUUUACACAUGCAAGUCGAACGGUAACAGGGAGCUUGCUCCGCUGACGAGUGGCGAACGGGUGAGUAAUAUAUCGGAACGUACCCAGAAGUGGGGGAUAACGUAGCGAAAGUUACGCUAAUACCGCAUACGAUCCACGGAUGAAAGUAGGGGACCUUCGGGCCUUAUGCUUUUGGAGCGGCCGAUAUCUGAUUAGCUAGUUGGUGAGGUAAAGGCUCACCAAGGCGACGAUCAGUAGCUGGUCUGAGAGGACGACCAGCCACACUGGAACUGAGACACGGUCCAGACUCCUACGGGAGGCAGCAGUGGGGAAUUUUGGACAAUGGGCGCAAGCCUGAUCCAGCAAUGCCGCGUGAGUGAAGAAGGCCUUCGGGUUGUAAAGCUCUUUUGUCAGGGAAGAAACGGGAGUGGCUAAUAUCCAUUCUUAAUGACGGUACCUGAAGAAUAAGCACCGGCAAACUCCGUGCCAGCAGCCGCCGCCGUAA
rnacentral:rRNA from 1 species